AGGAGUAUGCUCAGUGGUAGAGCGCAUGCUUGGUGCGCACAAGGUCCUGGGUUCAAUCCCCAGUGCCUCUG
rnacentral:tRNA from 1 species